rnacentral:other from 1 species
GAACCGGCGGAGCAGGAAAGCAUCAGGAUGAUGCAGCUUCAGGAAGAAGAAAGGGAUGCGCUCAGGCAGAGCGAAGGAUGGCGUCAGGAGAUGCCCAGGAUGUUUCAGGAUAGAAACCAGGGACACCUCCAGGACGGAGAUUGAGAGCCGACACAGGACUGUCGGCGGGUCAGGAAGGCUGAGGAACCGCGUCAGGACGAUGCUGCAGGAUGAUGCAAGGAUCACUUGGUCAGGAUGGCCGCAGGAAAAGUUUUCAAGGAUUGAGCAGGGAGCACACUGUGUAGCGGGAUAGCUAUAAAACGAACCGGGGGCACUGUUAACGCAGUGCCCCCAACUUUUUGC